UGGGGCGUGAAGCUGCUGCUGCUGCUCCAGCCGGGACCCGCACCCGCACCCGCACCCGCACCCGCACCCGCACCCGCACCCGCACCCGAGGAAGCGGGGGCAGCACCCACCCGGCCACCCGGCCACCGGGCGUCAGGGGUCACCAGAGCGGAUUUUGCACCCCCACACUGUCCCCCGGGACUAAGGGCACAGGGCCGGAGUCUGCACACUCCCGAGAAGAGAUGCUCUGCUAGGGGACGGACGGACGGACGGACGGACGGACGGACGGACGGGGACUCCAGGACUGCGGGCGCCCUGCACGUGCACAGACUUUUCCCUUUUACUUAUUAUGGGGGUUAAUGGUUGACAGUCGACCGUAAACACCGUAGGCACGUGUAAGGCUUCCCGGUUUUCGGCUUCGCAGCCUGACCCCCACCCGGGUCCUCCCCCACCUGCGCUCCUCCCCCCGCCCCGAAGUUAAAUUGAUUUAUUUCUUCCCUUUUGUUGCCCCUUGUUGCUUUCCUGUUGUGAUGAUUACUGUUGUCUGUCUUCGUUGUUGGACAGGACCUGAACUCCCCCCACCAGAGCCCUUCACUUCGGGGCCAUACACCCACUCCAGCCCAGCUUCUGCUUUGUGUCUCCCUUUCUGUUCUGAGUUUUCAGUUUCUGUCCAUGAGUAGGAUCAUCCCGUAUUCAUCUUUCUCUUUCUGCAUGAUCACAGUGAACGUGUCCUUCAGCUCUGUCAGUGGACAGAAUUUUUAUUACAUAAAAAAAUGAAUUAAAAAAUA